GGUGGCUCAGUGGUAGAGUGCUUGCCUUGCAUGCAUGAGGCUCUGGGUAUGAUUCCUCAGCACCA
rnacentral:tRNA from 1 species